GUGCAGCAGUCGCGAAUAGUCUACAAUGGACGAAAGUCUGAUAGUGCGACGCCGUGUGUGCGAUUAAUUCCUUCGGGAUGUAAAGCACUUUUCUAUGAGAUAAAAGCUCUUUAGGUUAAUAGCUUAUUGAGACGGAUAUUAUUAUAGGAAUAAGCUCCGGCUAACUCCGUGCCAGCAGCCGCGGUAAUACGGAAGGAGCGAGCGUUGUCCGGAUUUACUAGGCGUAAAGGGCUAGUAGGCGACUAAUUAAGUUAUAUGUUAAAUCCCACGGCUCAACUGUGGUCCUGCAUGUAAUACUGGUUAGAUAGAGUACUGUAGAGGAAGGCAGAAUUCCUGGAGUAGCGGUGGAAUGCGCAGAUAUCAGGAAGAAUACCAAAAGCGAAGGCAGCCUUCUGGGCAGUUACUGACGCUGAAUAGCGAAGGUGUGGGUAGCGAACAGGAUUA
rnacentral:rRNA from 1 species